rnacentral:rRNA from 1 species
GUCUACGGCCAUGCUACCCUGAACAAGCCUGAUCCUGUCUGAUCUCGGAAACUAAGCAGGGUCGGGCCUGGUUAGUACUUGGAUGGGAGACCACCUAGAAAGACCAGGUGCUGUAGGCG